rnacentral:rRNA from 1 species
GAUGAACGCUGGCGGCGUGCCUAAUACAUGCAAGUCGAGCGAACAGAUGAUGAGCUUGCUCCCCUGACGGUAGCGGCUGACGGGCGAGUAACACGUGGAUAACCUACCUAUAAUACGGGGAUAACUUCGGGAAACCGGAGAUAAUAACGGAGAAUAUAUCGAACCGCAGGGUUCAAUAGUGAAAGACGCUUUUGCUGACACUAAGAGAUGGAGCCGGGCCGCAUUAGCUAGUUGGUAAGGUAACGGCCCACCAAGGCGACGAUGCGUAGCUGAUCUGAGAGGAUGAUCAGCCACACUGGAACUGAGACACGGUCCAGACUCCUACGGGAGGCAGCAGUGGGGAAUAUUGGACAAAGGGCGCAAGCCUGAUCCAGCCAUACCGCGUGAGUGAAGAAGGUCUUCGGGUCGUAAAGCCCUUUUGUUGGGAAAGAAAAGCAGCAGGUUAAUACCCCGCUGUUCUGACGGUACCCAAAGAAUAAGCACCGGCUAACUUCGUG